CACCCCAUUUCUUCCAAGAAGACUGGUGGGCACGGAAGAAACUCCACCCACAAAAGUGGCAACCCUGGCCACUGAGCAAUCCUGCCUUUCACCUCAACUGCUGCAAAGGACUCUUCAGACCAUGGACAAGAGGACAGUGGAACAGACUUUCUCCACGUUGCUUGCGCCAACAGUAGGUUCCAGGGAGCUGAAUUGGACCCACCCAAACAGGAUGACAUCAUCAUUUUCAUCUCCUUCAUGUGCUGCCCAAUCCAGCCUGAGCACCCCUUGCACCACUGCCCAGGGGAGCCCCAAAAGAGACUCUGUACUGUGUCC
rnacentral:lncRNA from 1 species